rnacentral:tRNA from 1 species
CUUUUAUAGGAUAGUAGUAAUCCAUUGGUCUUAGGAACCAAAAAGCUUGGUGCAAACCCAAAUAAAAGUA